GGGUUGUGAGGUUAAGCGACUAAGCGUACACGGUGGAUGCCCUGGCAGUCAGAGGCGAUGAAGGGCGUGCUAAUCUGCGAUAAGCGCCGGUAAGGUGAUAUGAACCGUUAUAACCGGCGAUACCCGAAUGGGGAAACCCAGUGUGAUUGGUCACACUAUCAUUAACUGAAUCCAUAGGUUAAUGAGGCGAACCGGGGGAACUGAAACAUCUAAGUACCCCGAGGAAAAGAAAUCAACCGAGAUUCCCCCAGUAGCGGCGAGCGAACGGGGAGGAGCCCAGAGCCUGAAUCAGCAUGUGUGUUAGUGGAAGCGUCUGGAAAGGCGCGCGAUACAGGGUGACAGCCCCGUACACAAAAGCGCAUGUGCUGUGAGCUCGAUGAGUAGGGCGGGACACGUGGUAUCCUGUCUGAAUAUGGGGGGACCAUCCUCCAAGGCUAAAUACUCCUGACUGACCGAUAGUGAACCAGUACCGUGAGGGAAAGGCGAAAAGAACCCCGGCGAGGGGAGUGAAAAAGAACCUGAAACCGUGUACGUACAAGCAGUGGGAGCACCCUUCGGGGUGUGACUGCGUACCUUUUGUAUAAUGGGUCAGCGACUUAUAUUCUGUAGCAAGGUUAACCGUAUAGGGGAGCCGGAGGGAAACCGAGUCUUAACCGGGCGUUAAGUUGCAGGGUAUAGACCCGAAACCCGGUGAUCUAGCCAUGGGCAGGUUGAAGGUUGGGUAACACUAACUGGAGGACCGAACCGACUAAUGUUGAAAAAUUAGCGGAUGACCUGUGGCUGGGGGUGAAAGGCCAAUCAAACCGGGAGAUAGCUGGUUCUCCCCGAAAGCUAUUUAGGUAGCGCCUCGUGAAUUCAUCUCCGGGGGUAGAGCACUGUUUCGGCUAGGGGGCCAUCCCGGCUUACCAACCCGAUGCAAACUGCGAAUACCGGAGAAUGUUAUCACGGGAGACACACGGCGGGUGCUAACGUCCGUCGUGAAGAGGGAAACAACCCAGACCGCCAGCUAAGGUCCCAAAGUCAUGGUUAAGUGGGAAACGAUGUGGGAAGGCCCAGACAGCCAGGAUGUUGGCUUAGAAGCAGCCAUCAUUUAAAGAAAGCGUAAUAGCUCACUGGUCGAGUCGGCCUGCGCGGAAGAUGUAACGGGGCUAAACCAUGCACCGAAGCUGCGGCAGCGAACGUAUCACCCAAGACAACUUUACGGAGUUGACGAUUGACGGAGCGAAGCGACGUCAAAGCGUUCAUUAAAGUCGAGUUGGCUUAGGGAUACGUUCGUUGGGUAGGGGAGCGUUCUGUAAGCCUGUGAAGGUGUGUCGUGAGGCAUGCUGGAGGUAUCAGAAGUGCGAAUGCUGACAUAAGUAACGAUAAAGCGGGUGAAAAGCCCGCUCGCCGGAAGACCAAGGGUUCCUGUCCAACGUUAAUCGGGGCAGGGUGAGUCGACCCCUAAGGCGAGGCCGAAAGGCGUAGUCGAUGGGAAACGGGUUAAUAUUCCCGUACUUGGUGUUACUGCGAAGGGGGGACGGAGAAGGCUAUGUUGGCCGGGCGACGGUUGUCCCGGUUUAAGGGUGUAGGUGUGUGUUCCAGGUAAAUCCGGUUCACUUUAACACUGAGGCGUGACGACGAGGCACUACGGUGCUGAAGCAACAAAUGCCCUGCUUCCAGGAAAAGCCUCUAAGCAUCAGGUAACAUCAAAUCGUACCCCAAACCGACACAGGUGGUCAGGUAGAGAAUACCAAGGCGCUUGAGAGAACUCGGGUGAAGGAACUAGGCAAAAUGGUGCCGUAACUUCGGGAGAAGGCACGCUGACAC
rnacentral:rRNA from 1 species